CUAGCAGAAGAUUAUCCUCUUUUCUUACUGUAAUCUAAACUGGCAGAAUCAUAGGAUUUUUUUCCCUUUCACUUGUCUUAAAACUAAAAGCCUUUGAAUGUUCUGAAAGAAUAACUAAUAAGCUGCCAUUUACUUUUCGUCUCACUUAAAGGUAGUCUCCUGGUGUUUAACCUAUCAUGGGUUCCUAAGAGUUUCCUGAGCAGCCUAGUUCUGAAAUUCUCUGAAACACACUUUGAAACGCAGCUUAUAACAAAAUAGAUUACACAUUAAAAAAAAAAAACAACCUGAGUAUGUGUGUGUGCAGGAAAGAAAGCAAAUUUUGUUUGUACUCAUUUGUACAUUGCAUUACCAUAAGUUUUACCCUUUCCAAAUAAUAUGCAGAUGGAAAAUUAGGGAACAUGCUGCUGUAAAUCAUUGUUAGUGCUUUGGUGGUGGCAGGAGAAAGCAGUUAAGGGAUUCAUUUUUCUUCCAAGAAAAUAAUUCUUUUUAAAUCCAUCUGAAUCACAGCCAAAGGAUUACUUCUUAUCUGGCUAUAAUAAAUACUCUUUCCACCCAUCUUGUAUGUAAUAAGAAA
rnacentral:lncRNA from 1 species